rnacentral:rRNA from 1 species
UAUGGUGGUUUUGCCGAGGGUGUUCACCUCUUCCCAUCCCGAACAGAGCAGUUAAGCCCCUCAUGGCCAAUGGUACUUGGGUUUUGUCCCUGGGAGAGUAGGUAGCUGCCAUAU